CAGCCGCCGCGGGAACACAGAGGGUGCGAGCGUUAAUCGGAUUUACUGGGCGUAAAGCGUGCGUAGGCGGCUUCUUAAGUCGGAUGUGAAAUCCCUGAGCUUAACUUAGGAAUUGCAUUCGAUACUGGGAAGCUAGAGUAUGGGAGAGGAUGGUAGAAUUCCAGGUGUAGCGGUGAAAUGCGUAGAGAUCUGGAGGAAUACCGAUGGCGAAGGCAGCCAUCUGGCCUAAUACUGACGCUGAGGUACGAAAGCAUGGGGAGCAAACAGGAUUAGAUACCCCUGUAGUCCCUGUCUCUUAUAU
rnacentral:rRNA from 1 species